GAAUCGCUAGCUCAGUUGGCAGAGCACCGGACUUUUAAUCCGGGUGUCCCGGGUUCAAAUCCCGGGCGAUUCACCA
rnacentral:tRNA from 1 species